rnacentral:rRNA from 1 species
CCUACGGGUGGCAGCAGUGGGGAAUAUUGGGCAAUUGGCGCAAGCCUGACCCAGCAACGCCGCGUGAAGGAAGAAGGCUUUCGGGUUGUAAACUCCUUUUAGCAGGGACGAAGCACGUGACGGUACCUGAUGAAUAAGCCACGGCUAACUACGUGCCAGCACACGCGGUAAUACGUAGGUGGCAAGCGUUAUCCGACUUUACUGGGUGUAAAGAGCGUGUAGGCGGGAGGGCAAGUCAGAUGUGAAAACUAUGGGAUCAACCCAUAGACUGCAUUUGAAACUGGACAUCUUGCGCGCUGGAGAGGCAAUCGGAAUUCCGGGUGUAGCGGUGAAAUGCGUAGAUAUACGGAGGAACACCAGUGGCGAAGGCGGAUUGCUGGACAAUAACUGACGCUGAGGCACGAAAGCGUAGGGAGCAAACGGGAUUAGAUACCCCUGUAGUC